rnacentral:rRNA from 1 species
UACGUAGGUCCCGAGCGUUGUCCGGAUUUAUUGGGCGUAAAGCGAGCGCAGGUGGUUUAUUAAGUCUGGUGUAAAAGGCAAUGGCUCAACCAUUGUAUGCAUUGGAAACUGGUAGACUUGAGUGCAGGAGAGGAGAGUGGAAUUCCAUGUGUAGCGGUAAAAUGCGUAGAUAUAUGGAGGAACACCGGUGGCGAAAGCGGCUCUCUGGCCUGUAACUGACACUGAGGCUCGAAAGCGUGGGGAGCAAACAGG